CAGCGCGCUGGUCGACCGGUCGCUCACCUACGACUGCCGCUCGUGCGGCGCCCGCCACAUCUCGGGCGGGCUGUUCCAGUCGGCCGGGCUGGCC
rnacentral:tRNA from 1 species